AUUUAUUGAUUAUUCUGAGUUGAAAGGAACAUGUUUAUUCAAAACCCGGGAAAGCAAGGCGAUAAAUUAAACAUGUUCAUAAAUUGUCAAGAAAAAAGUUCCUUUAAGUUUAGUUUAUCCAGACUUCUCAUUCUGCGCUUUUCUUUUUAAAUCAUUGACUUAAAUCGGCUCAUCACCUACGCAAUAUACAAAAUACAAAUACUAGCAUUUACGUUUAAUAAACAAAUGAAUCAAGCAUAACGGAUGAUGCCUCGUCUCCAUUAAUUUGAGGAUUUCAGCUUGUUAAAUGCAAAAUCUGUAUUUGCCAUUUACUGAAUUAAAACACAUACAAUUGGCAAUGUAUCUGAUCGAGUUGUUUAGUAAUCAAUUGUUCUAUAAAUUAGUUGGUUUCAAUGCGAUAUAAGAGAAUGUUGUCGAUAAAUAUGAUGGAUUUAAGUUCUCGGUUUCAAUUUCAGUAUGCGGAUUUAUACUUUCGAAAACGUAAAAAAAUGAAUAUGCAACAAGUAAAUCACA